GGUGGCUCAGUGGUAGAGCUCUUGCCUUACAUGCAUAAGGUCUUGGGUUCAAUUCCUCAGCACCA
rnacentral:tRNA from 1 species